rnacentral:rRNA from 1 species
UACGUAAGGGGCAAGCGUUGUCCGGAAUCACUGGGCGUAGAGGGCGCGUAGGCUGUUUGGUAAGUAGAAGGUGAAAGAUUCGGGCUCAACCCGAAAACUGCCUUCUAAACUGCCUUACUUGAGGGUCUGAGGGGAAGCUGGAAUUCACGGUGUAGCGGUGAAAUGCGUAGAUAUUGGGAGGAACACCGGUGGCGAAGGCGGCCCCCUGGACCGGUACUGACGCUGAGGCGCGAAAGCGUGGGUAGCAAACGGG